UGGGGAAUAUUGGACAAUGGGCGAAAGCCUGAUCCAGCCAUGCCGCGUGUGUGAAGAAGGUCUUCGGAUUGUAAAGCACUUUAAGUUGGGAGGAAGGGCAGUAAGCGAAUACCUUGCUGUUUUGACGUUACCGACAGAAUAAGCACCGGCUAACCUGUGCCAGCAGCCGCGGUAAUACAGAGGGUGCAAGCGUUAAUCGGAAUUACUGGGCGUAAAGCGCGCGUAGGUGGUUCGUUAAGUUGAAUGUGAAAGCCCCGGGCUCAACCUGGGAACUGCAUCCAAAACUGGCGAGCUAGAGUAGGGCAGAGGGUGGUGGAAUUUCCUGUGUAGCGGUGAAAUGCGUAGAUAUAGGAAGGAACACCAGUGGCGAAGGCGACCACCUGGGCUCAUACUGACACUGAGGUGCGAAAGCGUGGGGAGCAAACAGG
rnacentral:rRNA from 1 species